CUCUUCUGCUUCCGUACAUAUCGUGAUUUUCUUACGCCUUUUACUAAAGAAAACCGUGUGUGGGAGGCGCUAUAUGAGCCGUAAAAAAUUGCUGACCGAUAUAUUAUUUGUUCA